CAGCAGCCACGGUAAAACGUAGGGUCCGAGCGUUGUCCGGAAUUACUGGGCGUAAAGAGCUCGUAGGUGGUUUGUCGCGUUGUUCGUGAAAACUCACAGCUUAACUGUGGGCGUGCGGGCGAUACGGGCAGACUAGAGUACUGCAGGGGAGACUGGAAUUCCUGGUGUAGCGGUGGAAUGCGCAGAUAUCAGGAGGAACACCGGUGGCGAAGGCGGGUCUCUGGGCAGUAACUGACGCUGAGGAGCGAAAGCGUGGGGAGCGAACAGGAUUAGAUACCCCGGUAGUCCCUGUCUCUUAUAC
rnacentral:rRNA from 1 species